ensembl:lncRNA
UGUUUCAAUCUGCACUUAUUCCCCUCAACAGCUUCUUCUAAACCUGUCACUAACAAUACCUAAAUACUGGGCCAGAAGAUUUCAGCUACAGGAAGAAUAAAAUCAGACUCUGUUUCUGAGCAGUGAUUGAUCCUUAUCAGAUUUGGCAUCUUGCUUUUGAAAAGAGAAGAAAGUGGAAAAAAAAAUCUGUUCAACAGCAGCUGGAAGAGAGGAGUGAGAAAAUGUGAGAAACAACCCUGAAGACACCAAGUGAUCAAGCACUGGAAUGGACUGCCAUGGAAGUACCGGAAUCCCCAUCUCUGGAGGUAUUUAAGAGAGAAAUGGACUUGGCACUACAGGACAUGGUUUAGUGCUAGGACACAGUAGAUUGUGGCAACUGCAGAAUAUAUUAGAUGAGAAGAGAAGCAUGAUAUGAAACCACCUUUAGAUAAUCCUUUAUCUGCACAUCAAGCAAUUUUGGAGAAGGUAAAC